rnacentral:tRNA from 2 species
GCGACCGUCGCCAAGUGGUAAGGCAGAAGAUUGUGGCUCUUCUAUACGUGGGUUCGAUUCCCAUCGGUCGCC